GGAUGGUGAUUUGAAGGAACUGGGAAUUAAAACGGAUGGUUCUCGACAACAAAUUCUGGCAGCUAUUUCUGAGCUGAAUGCAGGAAAGGGCCGAGAAAGAAAAAUUUUACAGGAGACCAUACACAACUUUCACUCUUCCUUUGAAAGCAGUGUUAGCAACACUAGCCCUGGAAAACCUCAGUCACCUGGAUGCUGGGUGAGGCCACAAGAACCUUCUCCUACUAAGAGGUAGUUUUUGAACCAAGGUGUCUCACUACCUCGCCACGGUGUCCUGAAGAAAAGUAUCAU